CCCAACUAUCCCUAUUAAUCAUUACGGUGAUCCUAGAAACCAACAAAAUAGAACCAUGCCGUCCUAUUCUAUUAUUCCAUGCUAAUGUAUUCGAGCAAAAAUGCCUGCUUUAAACACUCUAAUUUUUUCAAGGUAAAGGUCCUGGAUCCGCAAGACACCCAAUUAAGGACAUCAAGUUUCUCCAGAAGGUGAGAAAUCAACAGCGACAGUUCAUACCCCUUAAGGCAUGACCAUCACGUCAAUCCCGAAAUUCAACUACGAGCUUUUUAACUGCAACAACUUUAAUAUACGCUAUUGGAGCUGGAAUUACCGCGGCUGCUGGCACCAGACUUGCCCUCCAA
rnacentral:misc_RNA from 2 species